UACGGAGGAUCCGAGCGUUAUCCGGAUUUAUUGGGUUUAAAGGGUGCGCAGGUUGUUUGAUAAGUCAGUGGUGAAAGUCUGUCGCUUAACGGUAGGAUUGCCAUUGAUACUGUUAGACUUGAAUAUGGAUGAGGUAGGCGGAAUGUGUAGUGUAGCGGUGAAAUGCAUAGAUAUUACACAGAACACCGAUUGCGAAGGCAGCUAACUGGGUCUUGAUUGACGCUGAGGCACGAAAGCGUGGGGAGCGAACAGGAUUA
rnacentral:rRNA from 1 species